rnacentral:rRNA from 1 species
GACGGUACAGGAAUUAGCUUGCUAAUUUGCUGACGAGUGGCGCAGUGGUGCGUAACGCGUAUACAAUCUACCUUUUGCUGAGGGAUAGCCCAGAGAAAUUUGGAUUAAUACCUCAUGGUAUUAUUGAUAGGCAUCUAUUAAUAAUUAAAGGUUACGGCAAAAGAUGAGUAUGCGUCCCAUUAGCUAGUUGGUGAAGUAACGGUUCACCAAGGCAACGAUGGGUAGGGGUCCUGAGAGGGAGAUCCCCCACACUGGUACUGAGACACGGACCAGACUCCUACGGGAGGCAGCAGUGAGGAAUAUUGGACAAUGGGCGAGAGCCUGAUCCAGCCAUGCCGCGUGCAGGAAGACUGCCCUAUGGGUUGUAAACUGCUUUUAUACAGGAAGAAUAAGCCUUACGUGUAAGGUGAUGACGGUACUGUAAGAAUAAGGACCGGCUAACUCCGUGCCAGCAGCCGCGGUAAUACGGAGGGUCCGAGCGUUAUCCGGAAUUAUUGGGUUUAAAGGGUCCGUAGGCGGAUGAUUAAGUCAGGGGUGAAAGUUUGCAGCUCAACUGUAAAAUUGCCUUUGAUACUGGUCAUCUUGAGUUGUAUUGAAGUAGGCGGAAUAUGUAGUGUAGCGGUGAAAUGCAUAGAUAUUACAUAGAACACCAAUUGCGAAGGCAGCUUACUAAGUACUAACUGACGCUGAUGGACGAAAGCGUGGGUAGCGAACAGGAUUAGAUACCCUGGUAGUCCACGCCGUAAACGAUGGAUACUAGCUGUUCGGGACCUUGAGUUCUGAGCGGCUAAGCGAAAGUGANUAGUAUCCCCACUGGGGAGUACGUUC